rnacentral:rRNA from 1 species
CCUUUGACGUUAGCGGCGGACGGGUGAGUAACACGUGGGUAACCUACCUAUAAGACUGGGAUAACUUCGGGAAACCGGAGCUAAUACCGGAUAAUAUUUCGAACCGCAUGGUUCGAUAGUGAAAGGUGGUUUUGCCAUCACUUAUAGAUGGACCCGCGCCGUAUUAGCUAGUUGGUAAGGUAACGGCUUACCAAGGCGACGAUACGUAGCCGACCUGAGAGGGUGAUCGGCCACACUGGAACUGAGACACGGUCCAGACUCCUACGGGAGGCAGCAGCC